CCCCACACACUGGCAGUCUUAUCGAGCUGAGGGGAAGAUUUUUACAGAAAUGGAGGGCGUUAAAUGAGAACAGCCCAACAACGGGUUUCUUAUGGAAACCUCAAGAAAAUGAGAAAAUUUGUAACUGGAGAGGGGGGUGAGGGAGGAGCGUAUGCAAGCAAGAAAGUACAUCGCGUAUGUGUGGUAAAAACCUCUCGUUUGCAGACUGCUGCGCAGAACAGGCUGGCUGACUGCUAACCACAAGCAAAUAGGCCAACACAUGGGUCCUGGAAAUGAGAGCAUGGAGCAGUGAGGUUUACAAGAAGCUCAUGUUUGUGCAGAAUGCAUAUCAAGUGUCAGAUCUCCUAAACAUGGAGGCUAUAACCUCAGCGUCCUUCUUCAGACAGUGCAUAAUACUCACUAGAGACAGAGAUGCCUCGAUGUAUCGGUGCAGAGCUGGCACUGGGUGUGAUCACUGCAGCAGCCCCACGUCCGGAAACAUUGCAGGAGCCUGAUUAAGCUCAACAUCAGACAACGAGAUACAAGACUGAUCUGCUUAACUUAUGGCUUUAGGCAUUUCAGGUUUUUUUUCUUUGUUUUCCUUUUGCUCAGCACUCAGUGAAGAUGAGCUUUACUUGUGUGUUUCUUCUAAAAGAUUGAGAUAAUCACUGUUGCUUUGAUGUUUUCUGUGGAACUUUUCAUUAUAAAAUGCCCAGAACCAGACCAGUGAAGCAGGACCCCUACCUAGGCUGGCAUCCCUGGAGCUGACCCCUUUACAGCCUUGCAGUUACAGAACUGAAGACUGUUAUGUUAAAAUCAAGUGUGUAAAUUUGUGGCUGGAAGCAUUUGUCAACUUUUUCCUCCUCAAUUGCAACAUUUUAGGUUACUUUAGAGCUUGCCAGGAAUAAUUAAGGCAGAUUCUGAAUUCCGUUUAAAAACUUGGCUCAUGUGCUUCCAAGUAACUCUUUCAAAGUGCCUGCUAGCACUUUUUAAUUUUGCAGUUUAGUUGAUCACGUCUCGCUCUUCGUCAUCCCAGCGAGAUGUAUGCGCAAUCAGUGAUUUCCUAACAAGAACCAUUUGCCUGCCUGCCCUUUUCCAAAAGCGUACAGUUGGGUAUUUACAACCAAAGAUGUGAGCGUUGUACCAGAGAGACUGUGCAGGGAGGGAAUACUGAACACAGCCCGUUUUCCAACCACUAAAAUAUAUAGAGUUUUGUUUGGAGAAGUGACUGACAGCAGCACAGCGCCUGAGCUUGGAAGAGCACAAUUGUUCAGGUGUUUUGUGGCAACGCUUACGUGUUUAGUGCUUGAGUUUUUUCCCAUCUGGUGCACACAAAACGCUGAAAGUCUCCUCACAUGCUCAUUGACACUGUAAAAGAGACGUCAAGCAGUGAUGCAAGUAUUUCGCUGUUAGAGCUAUUAGUAGACUUUGCUGACAAAAAGGAAUUGGAUGAGUGAUGAGUGAAAGGUUGCGAUGGACAAGUUGGAGCGAGAUGUUAGUCACUGGACGCUGUGAGAGGACAGCAAGGGUUUGCGUCAGAGAGCUCCAAGAUCCUCAUCUGAAAUACGGGGGGAAAAAUAAGGAAUUAGCAAGACAAUUUCCUGUAAGUUAACCCUCUUGGAGGAGAGGAAGAGAAAGUGAUUCCCGAACAGGCUCUCCAGCUGCUCUGAGUGUUGGCCAUGAAACUGCUCGCCUGGAGCCCAUCUCCAGAGGAGUCCAGCAGCCUCCAGAGAUGCUUCAGAGCAACCCACAAGACGAUGCAGUCAGGUAGGCCCAGAGCCUCCGUCUGCCAGAAAACCAGGACUUUCCACAUAAUGGAGGCACUGAUGGUCCAAAAAUGACAUCAGGUUCUGUCUAAUAAAGACAAGAGGACAGAAGUGAUGAUGUUGGACCUGAUGACCACCAGCCUAGCGUGGUCUGCAGGCUCAGGGAGAGGAGGGGAUGAUAAAGAACAACAUAACCUCCUGUAUUUGCAAAUAACUCUCAAAUCCUUUUUUUGAACUUCUCCAUGUGCUUUGUCUUAUUUUUUAUGGUGCCAAGCUGCCUAUGCUACUUAGUGCUUUAGUAAGAGCACACCUCUCUCUAUACCAUAAAGGCACAAAGUUCUGCUAGCAUGAGGGUCUCUUGAGUGUGACCACCCUCAUCAGCCUGUCCUAACCCUACUGCACCAUUUGCUGGAAGCAUCAAAUGGGAUGAAUCCAGUCCCAGGCUGGCAGAGCCCUGUUUGAGGUCCUCAACUGCCCUAAAAGCCACUCUUGACCGCAAGGGAGGCUGAGGCCAGCGCAAGUUCCUCAUUUCGUCUCCAUACAGUUUGGCCAUUCAGUUGCUUGAGUAUGUAUAACUUCAAUCUAUCUCCAUCCUGAACCCAUUUUAAUUCCUACAGUGAAAGCCUCCUGCUGCUUUGGGCUUCAGCAUGUGAAAGCAGAAAGCGCCACAGCCUGCACCACAGGGGAAAGCUGCUUUUUGCCUUCUGAGGGAAGGGCCCGUUCUUCAGCCAAUGUUUUUGACAGAGCCAAGAUCGCUGGUGGCAGCUUCCUGUGAACCAUCCGUAGUGCUCGGUGCCCGUGCAGCUGUGGCUUUUGAGCAACGAUUUCUCUCUGGGUGUCUGUUGGCCUUUAUCAUGGGAAAAAACAGGGAGCUGCUCUUCUGCGCAAUCUAGAUGGCAGCAAACGUCAGAUUAUUUCUGUGCAAUGCACGUGAGCGGUAUUGACUUCUUGUGAGAUCUGAAUCUUUCUUAUCUUCAUGGGCCAGGUCCUGAUACUGCACUUGGAGGCAAGAGGCUAUGGCACGAGAGGCAGAGGGAUGCCGUGUGCUGUGCGGGCUGCUGUGCUCCAGCAUCCCAGGCACUGGGCUCAGGCACAGCCAGGGUUGAGGAUCCAUCCUGGCUCCGGGCUGGACUUAGAAAUCCACUCAAGGGACCCAAAUUUACCUCCUGGGUUCAUCAGCUCUUUGUUAUUUUGGGGUGGGACAUGCUCUUACUUUCAGCCCCCAAAGGCUGGUUGUUUGGACAUGAACUGGUGGGAGAAAGCAUCCUUCAGUCGAGCUGUGACGCCUGUGGCCCUCCUUCUCCCUUUAGCCUCUUUUCCAGCGCUGAUCAGCAUGAGUGUAGCCUUUCUGUACCACCAAUCCCCAGCACAGUGACCUACAGAUAAUGCAUCGAUGUGUAAUAUGUUUAUGUAGAUAACAGCGACCCCUGAGCGUGCAGUGACCCCGCAGCAGUUGGGGUUUAUCUGCUUUCUGAGCAGUUAUGAAUGAGAAACUUCUUUAUCAGGACCCCCAUCUGGGUGGACAACGCCUCACCCCUGUACCUGCAUGAUAUGGGGCCACCAGGAGGGAAUUUUCUUGCCCUAAAUCCCCUGUUGUCAAUGGCAGGAUAGCUGCUGUCACGCUGGGCACUCUCACAGUGUGGUCCCAAUGUAGUGAUGUUACAAAUUACUCAUCACUCCUGAGGUAAACUGGGAGAUAAAACAGCCCUGAGAGUUAUGACUGAGGAGUGAUUCAUCACUUGAGAUUUUGAGAUGUUUCUUCUCUGCUUUGGGGCUAUUUCCAGGCAUUUUGGGCACAUCAGGAAGAGUCCCAUGUGUCUGCGCAAGAGGCCAGAAGCAGCCCCCUCCCUCUCCCUGCCCCCUAAUUAAUGCCUUAGAAAAAUGCAAAGCCCUUAAUCUGCUUUACAUGUGAUUUGAAAGCAGCAGCAGUGCUUCAGCACCGCAGCAGUAAGACACUCCGAUAGCCAUACGAUGGCACGUUUCAAGGUUAUCACUGUUGCACAGGGGGCUGUGAUCUGUUCCCCUGCCCACGCCGACACAGCCCUGCGGGGCCUGCUCCCGUCGGGGACCUGGGAAGGUUCCGUGAGCCCGUGACCAGCGGAAAGUCAGAGGUGUGAUGGCAGGAACGACUUCCGUGGGCUGGGGCUGUGGGACCCUGCAUGUGUUUGCUCCAUUUCCUAUUGAUGCUGAGCACCACCUC